AUUGAACGCUGGCGGCAGGCCUAACACAUGCAAGUCGAACGAGUGGCGGACGGGUGAGUAAUGUCUGGGAAACUGCCUGAUGGAGGGGGAUAACUACUGGAAACGGUAGCUAAUACCGCAUACCAUCGGAUGUGCCCAGAUGGGAUUAGCUAGUAGGUGGGGUAAAGGCUCACCUAGGCGACGAUCCCUAGCUGGGCUGAGAGGAUGACCAGCCACACGGGAACUAAGCCACGGUCCAGACUCCUACGGGAGGCAUCAGUGGGGAAUAGUGCACAAUGGGCGCAAGCCUGAGGCAGCCAUGCCGCGUGUAUGAAGAAGGCCUUCGGGUUGUAAAGUACUUGAAGCGGGGAGGCGUUACCCGCAGAAGAAGCACCUGCUAACUCCGUGCCAGCCGCCGCGGUAAUAC
rnacentral:rRNA from 1 species